rnacentral:rRNA from 1 species
UACGUAGGGGGCAAGCGUUUGUCCGGAAUUAUUGGGCGUAAAGAGCGUGUAGGCGGCCAGAUAAGUCCGCUGUGAAAUCUCGAGGCUCAACUUCGAGCUGUCGGUGGAAACUAUCUGGCUAGAGUCCGGAAGAGGAGAAUGGAAUUCCUGGUGUAGCGGUGAAAUGCGCAGAUAUCAGGAAGAACACCCGUGGCGAAGGCGGUUCUCUGGGACGGUACUGACGCUGAGACGCGAAAGCGUGGGGAGCGAACAGG